rnacentral:rRNA from 1 species
AGAGGAACACCAGUUGCGAAGGCGGAUCUCUGGACGGUUUCUGACGCUGAGGCACGAAAGCUGGGGUAGCGAAGAGGAUUAGAUACCCUCGUAGUCCCAGCCGUAAACGGUGCGCACUUGCUGUGGGCGGAUUCGACCCCGUCUGUGGCGAAGCUAACGCGAUAAGUGCGCCGCCUGGGGAGUACGGUCGCAAGAUUAAAACUCAAAGAAAUUGACGGGGGCCUGCACAAGCGGUGGAGUAUGUGGCUUAAUUCGAUGCAACGCGAAGAACCUUACCUGGCCUUGACAUGUAGUGGACCGGGUGCGAAAUCACCCUUUCCUUCGGGACUGCUACACAGGUGCUGCAUGGCUGUCGUCAGCUCGUGUCGUGAGAUGUUGGGUUAAGUCCCGCAACGAGCGCAACCCCCGUGUUCUGUUGCCACCCGGAUGAGAAUCCGGAGCACUCUGGACAGACUGCCUGGUUUCAACCAGGAGGAAGGUGGGGAUGACGUCAAGUCAGUAUGGCCCUUACGGCCAGGGCUGCACACGUACUACAAUGCCUGAUAUAAUGGGAAGCGAGACCGCGAGGUGGAGCAAAUCCUCAAAAUCAGGCCCAGUUCAGAUUGUAGGCUGCAACUCGCCUACAUGAAGGAGGAAUCGCUAGUAAUGCCGUAUCAGCUACGACGGCGUGAAUACGUUCCCAGGCCUUGUACACACCGCCCGUCACAUCAUGAAAGUCGAUUGUACCCGAAGUCGCUGCGUUAACCGCAAGGAGACAGGUGCCGAAGGUAUGGUUGGUAAUUGGGAUGAAGUCGUAACAAGGUAGCCGUAGGGGAACCUGUGGCUG